GACGCCGCCAGCUGAUCGGAGACUGGAGCCGGUGUGUGCUGGGCGAUGGGAAGAGACAGAGCGGUCGGCCGUGCGGGGAGGACGCAGUGAUUUUGCUCCUCUGUCCUCAGCAACCCCCACACCCAGCAUCAGGACCCUGUGCCUCCCACACCCUCACCUGGCUGAGCCGCAGUAGUUCUUCAGUGGCAAGCUUUAUGUCCUGACCCAGCUAAAGCUGCCAGUUGAAGAACUGUUGCCCUCUGCCCCUGGCUUCGAGGAGGAAGAGGAGGAGCGGCUUCUUUGCCUGCCUUCUGGAAGUGUGUCCCUCCAGCACUGGGUUCAUGGCUCUGCUAUCUUCAUCCAACAUGGAGCCUCAGAGGUGAGGAAGGGCAACACAGAGGCCGGCAGAAGACCAGUGAAGGACCUGGCCUGGAGCCACAAGGGCCUGUCCCAGACAUUGGUCGGAGGGGUACACAGAAGCCUGGAGAACAGCCAGCCUCCAUGAAAGACAAGCUUCCAGCCAUCUCCUCUCCAGACCUAGCUCCCUUGGAGAUGAAGACCCAUGAUGAAGUAUCUCUUCUCUACCCUGCGGUUUCUAUAUAACCACCCUGGAGGAGCAUGAGCCACCUCUGAAAGGGAAUACAGAACAAAUUCAAAGAGAGACUCAAAUGUGUAACACUAUGGAAAAACACAUUUUUGGCUGGGGCUACAGCUGAGUUGGUAGAAUGCUUGUUCAACAUGCACAGAGCCCUGGUUCUAUCUCUGCAUUGCCUAGAACUGGGUGUGGUGGCACAGGCCUAUAAUCCCAGCACACUGGAGGUGGUGGUAAGAGGAUAAGAGGAUCCUACAUUCAAGGUCAUCCUCUGCUACACAAUGAGUAAUGAGUUCUGAGCCAGC